UUUUCAGGUCCCUGUUCGGGCGCCAAUUGCCGGAGCCUGCCGGCAAAACGAACAGGUCC
rnacentral:miRNA from 1 species